CUGCGAUAUUGGUAGGGCCUCCCCCCUCCCCGUGGGCAGUGGUUGGGCCGAGCCUGAGCCCCGCCCCGGCGGGUGGUGCGCAAGAACUUUUCCCCGGGUAGUGCCCGGUGGACGUCCGCGCCCACCUCAGGACCUCCUCCCUUCCCGCCCGCGGGCUACACUGGGGCGGGAGGUCCCGCUCCACUUUGGGCCUGGUGCCACCUGUGCAACGUCCCCAGUCGGCCCAGGGCGAUGUGUGCACUCAGGCUACCCCGUGUCAAACGUCCACGAAACGGACCGGACUCACAAGAGUCUCAAAACACGGUGGUGUGACAUGGAGACCCCGACCCAUCUUUGCCUUCUGAGGAGAGCAGACCUGAAAUGGCUAUGAAGACUCUGAAGAAAGCACAAAAGACUGCUUCUGGGAGAUGUGGAGAGAAGGCAAUCAAGGACUGGAGCCUUUUAGAGAGACAGACAGCGAGAGAGGGAACACAAGCAGGGGGAAUGGGAG